AGUGGCGGACGGGUGAGUAACGCGUGAGAAUCUGCCUUCAGGACGGGGACAACAGUUGGAAACGACUGCUAACACCCGAUGUGCCGAGAGGUGAAAUAUUAAUAGCCUGAAGAUGAGCUCGCGUCUGAUUAGCUAGUUGGUAGUGUAAUGGACUACCAAGGCGACGAUCAGUAGCUGGUCUGAGAGGAUGAUCAGCCACACUGGGACUGAGACACGGCCCAGACUCCUACGGGAGGCAGCAGUGGGGAAUUUUCCGCAAUGGGCGGAAGCCUGACGGAGCAAGACCGCGUGAGGGAGGAAGGCCUACUGGUUGUAAACCUCUUUUGAUAGGGAAGAAUGCAAUGACGGUACCUAUCGAAUCAGCCUCGGCUAACUCCGUGCCAGCAGCCGCGGUAAUACGGAGGAGGCAAGCGUUAUCCGGAAUUAUUGGGCGUAAAGCGUCCGUAGGUGGUUAGUCAAGUCAGUUGUUAAAGCGUGGAGCUAAACUCCAUAAGGGCAAUUGAAACUGAUUAGCUAGAGUGCGAUAGGGGCAAGGGGAAUUCCCAGUGUAGCGGUGAAAUGCGUAGAUAUUGGGAAGAACAUCGGUGGCGAAAGCGCCUUGCUGGGUCUGCACUGACACUGAGGGACGAAAGCUAGGGGAGCGAAAGGGAUUAGAUACCCCUGUAGUCCUAGCUGUAAACGAUGGGUACUAGGCGUUGUC
rnacentral:rRNA from 1 species